rnacentral:rRNA from 1 species
GGGACUUACUUAGCUUGCUUUGUAAGUUUAGUGGCGGACGGGUGAGUAACACGUGAGCAACCUGCCCAGAAGAAAGGGAUAGCUCGAGGAAACUCGAAUUAAUACCAUAUGUGAUCCUGUGAAGCAUUUCGCAGGAAUGAAAGAUGCCUUCGGGUGUCACUUCUGGAUGGGCUCGCGGCCUAUCAGUUAGUUGGUGAGGUAACGGCUCACCAAGGCAAUGACGGGUAGCUGGUCUGAGAGGACGACCAGUCACACUGGAACUGAGACACGGUCCAGACACCUACGGGUGGCAGCAGUCGAGAAUCAUUCGCAAUGGGGGAAACCCUGACGGUGCGACGCCGCGUGGAGGAUGACGGUCUUCGGAUUGUAAACUCCUGUCAUCGAAGAGUAAGGCUUAUGUAUUAAUAGUAUGUAAGAUUGAUAGUAUUCGAAGAGGAAGGGACGGCUAACUUCGUGCCAGCAGCCGCGGUAAUACGAAGGUCCCAAGCGUUGUUCGGAAUCACUGGGCGUAAAGGGAGCGUAGGCGGUGAGGUAAGUCAGAUGUGAAAUUCCAGGGCUCAACCCUGGAACUGCAUCCGAUACUGCCUUACUAGAGUAGUGGAGGGGCAUCUGGAAUUCACGGUGUAGCAGUGAAAUGCGUAGAGAUCGUGAGGAACACUAGUGGCGAAGGCGAGAUGCUGGACACUUACUGACGCUGAGGCUCGAAGGCCAGGGUAGCGAAAGGGAUUAGAUACCCCUGUAGUCCUGGCAGUAAACGGUGCACGUUUGGUGUGAGAAGGUUCGACCCUUUUCGUGCCGGAG